CACAGAUGUAAAAUCCUUGAACACCUCUGAUAUUUCUGUAAUUGUCUCAUGACCUCCUCAUUGUCCUUUUCUAUGUCUGUUGUGUUGUAGACCACAAAAGAGGUGCUAAGCGAAGCCCAUAUGAAUGAUUACACUUAUUUAUUUAAGGUAUACAACUGCCUGCCUUCCUCACAAGCUAUAAAUAUUGUCCAGUAUAGGCCAAUUUACUCUGCUGCCCCUGUGAGAGUUGUUUGUAAGAAUCCGAACCUAUUUGUCUUUUGCAGAGUGGUUGUUAACUUUGAUAAAUGUCAAUAUAAUUAAAGAUAAUGGUUUGAUAUUUCAGGAAGCUAUGAAGCAGAUAACCCAGCUCCUACCAGAGGACCUCAGAAAGGAGCUCUAUGAACUUUGGGAAGAGUACGAGACCCAAUCUAGUGCAGAAGCCAAAUUUGUGAAGCAGCUAGACCAAUGUGAGAUGAUUCUUCAAGCAUCUGAAUAUGAAGACCUUGAACACAAACCUGGGAGACUGCAAGACUUCUAUGAUUCCACAGCAGGUACUCAACACCAUUUUCAACAA
rnacentral:sRNA from 1 species